AGGGAAUUGUGAUAUGGGAUGAUAUGGUAGUUAGAAGGAGAUGUAGGGUCAAUAGAUAUGCUUUUGUAGAAUGGUAUUAACAAUGGUAUGUUUGAUGGAAGAGGAAAAGAUGCCAGUAGACAAAGAAAGUAUGAAAAUAUGCAUUAAGGAUGGGAACAGACUAGGGCAAAGAGAUUGGACAAGGUGAGAGUACAGGGACAAGAGGAUAGUAAAAAUGU